UGCACCGUAGUUUACUACACCGUAUUCUGUGAGUUGCGAACGGGUGAGUAACGCGUAGGUAACCUGCCUGGUAGCGGGGGAUAACUAUUGGAAACGAUAGCUAAUACCGCAUAAGAACAUUUACUGCAUGGUAGAUGUUUAAAAGGUGCAAAAGCAUCACUACCAGAUGGACCUGCGUUGUAUUAGCUAGUUGGUGAGGUAACGGCUCACCAAGGCAACCUACAUAGCCGACCUGAGAGGGUGAUCGGCCACACUGGGACUGAGACACGGCCCAGACUCCUACGGGAGGCAGCAGUAGGGAAUCUUCGGCAAUGGGGGGAACCCUGACCGAGCAACGCCGCGUGAGUGAAGAAGGUUUUCGGAUCGUAAAGCUCUGUUGUUAAGGAAGAACGUGUGUGAGAGUGGAAAGUUCACACAGUGACG
rnacentral:rRNA from 1 species